AUGGACUUGCCGCUAGCCCUCGCAGCGCUACUCCUCAUCCUCCUCGUGCUCCUCGCCGCCCCGCCGGCGGCGCUCCUCAUUGCCCUCCACCUGAACCGCCGCCACCGCCUCCGGAGGCCCCGGCUAACGCCGCCCGAGCCGGCGGCCGCGGCGCUCGAGCCGAGCGCGCCGGCCGAGGAGGACGAGGGCGGAGAGGACAAGAGGCGGCGGCGGAGGGCGAGGCGGAAGCAGCAGCCGAAGCAGGGCGGCGACGGGGCCGCCUCGCAGGCGGCGGGCGGCGUUAGCCACGACGCGCUGCCGCCGCGGCCCCGGUUCCCGCUCGCUUCGGUGGCCGGCGCGCUGCAGCGGCGGAUCACCGCGCGGUACGACGAGCUCGCGCGGGCCAGCCAGGUCCAGUCCCUCACCAUUGACCAGGUUGGUGGGUGCGCCCUAUGCAAUGCAACCCUUCUCGGCAUCCUUAUUAGCUUCCUUGCACUAAUGUGCUGA
rnacentral:rRNA from 1 species